UAACAGGAUUAGAUACCCUGGUAGUCCACGCUGUAAACGAUGAAAACUAGAUGUUGGUAGGGGAACCUAUCGGUAUCGAAGCUAACGCGAUAAGUUUUCCGCCUGGGAAGUACGGCCGCAAGGUUGAAACUCAAAGAAAUUGACGGGGGCCCGCACAAGCGGUGGAGCAUGUGGUUUAAUUCGAUGCAACGCGAAGAACCUUACCUACUCUUGACAUCCUGCGAACUAGACCGAAAGGUUUGGGUGCCGAAAGGAACGCAGAGACAGGUGCUGCAUGGCUGUCGUCAGCUCGUGUUGUGAGAUGUUGGGUUAAGUCCCGUAACGAGCGCAACCCUUGUCCUUAGUUGCCAUCAUUUAGUUGGGGACUCUAAGGAGACUGCCGGUGUUGAACCGGAGGAAGGCGGGGACGACGUCAAGUCAUCAUGGCCUUUAUGAGUAGGGCUACACACGUGCUACAAUGGGGCGUACAGAGAGUCGCCAACCCGCGAGGGGGAGCCAAUCUCAGAAAGCGUCUCGUAGUCCGGAUUGGAGUCUGCAACUCGACUCCAUGAAGUUGGAAUCGCUAGUAAUCGCGGAUCAGCAUGCCGCGGUGAAUAUGUACCCGGGCCCUGUACACACCGCCCGUCACACCCUGGGAAUUGGUUUCGCCCGAAGCAUCGGAACAAUGAUCACCCUUGGUAUUUAUUCUGUGUCACACUAGUCACACAAUGCUCUUUGUUGGUCUUAUUGGCCUAUACCACGGUGGGGUCUUCGACUGGGGUGAAGUCGUAACAAGGUAACCGUA
rnacentral:rRNA from 1 species